AUGCCAUACUUGGCGGAGAACGUGGUGGUGGUGAGCAUGGCGACACUGACCCGGACGCUGACGCAUGCGUCGGCGUGCGAGCUCGCCUAUCAACUGGACGUCGUCCCGGCCAUCAAGGAGACUGGCGCCAACAGCACGCCCUCCCGGGGCUCCCACACAGGAGCGAGAGGAGAGGAUGGCACCGGUCUGCCAAUGUAUGUCGUUGACUGGUUCCCUGCCUGUCGCUUUUACCCUGCUGAGAAGUACAGUUUGUUUAUCCUGCCGUCUUACGACAAGGAUUACCGGCUUCAGUCUCUUAUAGGGGUUCUCAACUAG
rnacentral:rRNA from 1 species